GCCACCAACAGAGAGAAGCAGCACAAAGGAUAGCAGACCCCGCAUGUGGGACCCACACUUUCACCAUCACCAUUGCUCCAUCACUGAACUAGAGAGGCUUUCAUGCAGACAAAACGUAAGAAGGUUCACCAAGAUGCCAAACUGUGACUGGCUACAGCUUCAGCACAUCUCGUAACAAUGCAGGCCAUGACAUGCCAGUGUGAUGGAGCGUGGUAUGUACACUUCAGGAAAGAUGUGACAGAUCAACACUGCUGAUAGUGGUUGCCACUCCGGAUAUUCUACUAAAAUCCCCUUCUUCCAAGUGGCUUAACUCUUGAGACACUGCACCAUCCAUCCCAAGCACUGCAAGGUAACUAGCGGGUACCUCAACAGGACCUGUGUUGGAGCCUCUUGGGCUAACAGGACAUGCCUGUGGCAA